rfam:Ignavibacteria bacterium GWC2_36_12 gwc2_scaffold_3654, whole genome shotgun sequence.
AAUCGGGAGCCGGGUAACAUGUAACUGCCCAACUCCGUCAGGUCCGGAAGGAAGCAGCGGUAAGCAAGAGCUUGUGUAAACGGUUUCCCGAUUUUU